CUGCAGCUCCAGGGGACCCAAUCCCCUUACACAGACAUAUACACAGGCAAACCACCAAGGCACAUAAAUAAAAUAAAUCAUUAAAAAAAUAAAAGUUUACUUUGGUACCAGUUACUGAAAGUUUCAAUUCAGCAUAAGGCUCAAAAUUUUAACAGGGAUAAAUUACCCUAGUUUACAAAAACCUAAUCUUGUGAGAUUUACUAAUUUAUCAUAAACUGUUGGAAAAAAAAAAAGGAAUGAAGGCAUCCUUUAUAUAUAUUGUUGAAGUUUAGCCUAAAGCAGGCAACUCAAAACAAGUUUAAGAGUAAACCUGAAGUUUGCUAAAUAUAAUAUUCAAAAUCAGGUAUAUUAAAAAUGGUUAUGGAGAGUUCAAUGCUUGAGUAGAAUGGGUUAAAUUUACAAUCCCCUGCAUGGCAGGGCAUCUGUAGGCUCAAGUGGCGCUGCUUCCCUUGGAUGGGACCCUGUCUCCAUCAGAAUAAACUGCACGCUAGCCUUACUGAAUGAAGACUGGGAAGUAAGACUUGCCAGAGUAUGUUUAUAAGUUGUAGGCCAGCCCAGGAAAGGCUCCUUAUCCACAAAGGGGAUGAACUACUAUGGUCUCACACGGCAGUGACGGAGUCUCUAGACCAGUGCAGGGCCCUGAGAGUCUGCCCGCACAUCCCUAACGUAUCAAGCAAAAAGGAGGCAAGCAGCAAUCACCUUGCACUGCUGUCUCUGAACCGCCACUAGAGGGGGCUGUGGACAGGGGAGCCUUGUACCUGAGCUGCCACCUGACUAGGGGACCCGUACUCUAGUUCAACUGGCUUUCCAUUCUCUUCUUAGCAAGACUAACGCCAGGGCCAAGAAGUCAACACGUGACUGUGUAAGGAGGCCCCAGAGGAGUUUUAAGGAAUCUAAGAAAGGCUCUGCUACAGGGCGUCAGCAGUACGGAUAUUCAUUUAAACACGAAGUUGCAGGUGUCAUCCCGUGGGCCCACCACACCCAGGUUCUGCCUGAGGAGUAAGAACCUGGGGUAUAAAGGUGUCCCGUCACCUCCCUCCCCCCUGGCAAUCUCUCAGGGUCAUGAUGGGCAACCAGCUUUUCAGGCUGCCGCCGCCGCACUGGCCACUCUUCCAGAGGACCUGGAACUCAAUUCCCAGCACCCACAUGGCAGCUCACAACUGUUCCAGAGGAUCUGAUGCCCCCUCUUGGCCUCUGAGGGCACCAGGGGUCUGUGAGCUGGAUGAAUGAGGAAAGCCGAAUCUGACGACCCAGCUUGGUCCCUGGCUCCACAUGGUGAAGAGAACUGAUGCCCACAAGCUGUCCUGAUGUUUACGACUGCUAUAGGACACGUGUGCCACACACAUGCAUGUGAAAGUAAGUCACAGAAAGACUAUCUUUUCAAAAGUAGUCUUUCUUUCCUAGAAAUGAAGGAAAGACAGGCUGGCAGGCCACACUGGAAAGUUCCAGAAUGGCCUUGGCACCUGGGAUGGGCUUCCUGACUGACAGUCACAGUGAGAACCAGGAAGGGACUGCUAACAGUGGUCUGUGAAUGAACUUACUGGAAACAGGCCUCGUGAUGUCCAUGGGUUCUGCUUCUUCUUUGACUUUGACCUCGGAAACAGGAGGCCCCAGAACUGCGGAAAGGCUGCCAGCCACAGGUGUUGAUGUCGUGGGUGCAGCGGCAAUGGUGGUGAUGGGUGGAGUGACGGGGACGGCUCCAGGAAUGCUAGAAAGAGCGAUGGCUGGCUGGGAUGGAGGGCUGGCUGCGGCAAUCAUGCUUGGAAUGGCUGGUGGAGGCUGCUGGGAAGUUGGAGGGACUGCAAUGGUAGGCUGCUCGGCAGUCUGGUUGGAUAUGGUCUCCAAGGACACAGUGACUGGAGUGGCCAUGGACACAUGUACUUCGGAUUUAGGUUUGGCACUGAAACACAAAAGAGAGCAUUGUGUAGCAAUUGAGACAAAACUGUCUUUCCUUGAAACACCUCGAAGGAGGGUGUUACUUCUUGUAAUACAGCACACACAACUGAUACUCUACUGUUCAUCUUUACGUUAACUUAGAAAGAAUAGAGAUCUUCACCUGUGGUAUCGGGAAUUGAAUCUAGGGCUGUAAGCAGGCUAAGUAUGUGUUUUAGCUCAGAAUUCUCCAGCUCAGAAUUCAGGGUUUGUUUGUUUUUCAAGACAGGGUUUUUCGGUGUAGCCCUGGCACUCACUCCGUAGACCAGGCUGGUGUCAAACUCAGAGAUCCCCCUGCCUCUGCCUCCAGAAUGCUGGGAUUAGAGGCGUGCCCCAGUUCCACCUGUUCAGAAUUCACGUUUUUGAAAUAGCUUAUGUUAUAAGGCUGGGAAUACAGAUGCCAGAUAUGUUGAAGGCCCUAGGUUCAAUCAAUCCCCAACACCAGAAAAACAAGCAGAAACAAGCAACAUUUUCCAUUCUGUUAAGCUUUUAUACAAAGUAAUUCAAUACUUAGAAACAAUGAACAUUCAAAAAGAAAUCACUUGGAAUCACAUCCUGUGCAAGGACUAUGAGAUUUUAAAAUGGACGCUGCUGUUGCACGGUUUUUUUUCUUCUUUGAGACAGGAUCUCGAUUAUGUAUUUCUACCUGGCCUUAAACUUAAGAGAUGUUCCUGUCUCUGCUUCCCAAGUACUGGGAUUAAAGGUGUGUGCCACCAA